AUUGAACGCUGGCGGCAGGCCUAACACAUGCAAGUCGAACGAGUGGCGGACGGGUGAGUAAUGUCUGGGAAACUGCCUGAUGGAGGGGGAUAACUACUGGAAACGGUAGCUAAUACCGCAUACUAUCGGAUGUGCCCAGAUGGGAUUAGCUAGUUGGUGGGGUAAAGGCUCACCUAGACGACGAUCCCUAGCUGGUCUGAGAGGAUGACCAGCCACACUGGAACUGAGACACGGUCCAGACUCCUACGGGAGGCAGCAGUGGGGAAUAUUGCGCAAUGGGAGCAAGCCUGACGCAGCCAUGCCGCGUGGAUGAAGAAGGCCUUCGGGUUGUAAAGUUCUUUCGGUAGGGAGGCGUUACCUGCAGAAGAAGCACCGGCUAACUCCGUGCCAGCAGCCGCGGUAAUUC
rnacentral:rRNA from 1 species